rnacentral:rRNA from 1 species
GACGAACGCUGGCGGCGUGCCUAAUACAUGCAAGUUGAGCGCUGAAGGUUGGUACUUGUACCAACUGGAUGAGCAGCGAACGGGUGAGUAACGCGUGGGGAAUCUGCCUUUGAGCGGGGGACAACAUUUGGAAACGAAUGCUAAUACCGCAUAAAAACUUUAAACACAAGUUUUAAGUUUGAAAGAUGCAAUUGCAUCACUCAAAGAUGAUCCCGCGUUGUAUUAGCUAGUUGGUGAGGUAAAGGCUCACCAAGGCGAUGAUACAUAGCCGACCUGAGAGGGUGAUCGGCCACAUUGGGACUGAGAAACGGCACAAACUCCUACGGGAGGCAGCAGUAGGGAGUCUUCGGCAAUGGACGAAAGUCUGACCGAGCAACGCCGCGUGAGUGAAGAAGGUUUUCGGAUCGUAAAACUCUGUUGGUAGAGAAGAACGUUGGUGAGAGUGGAAAGCUCAUCAAGUGACGGUAACUACCCAGAAAGGGACGGCUAACUACGUG